UACGGGGGGGGCAAGCGUUGUUCGGAAUCAUUGGGCGUAAAGGGCGCGCAGGUGGCUCUGUAUGUCUACCGUGAAAGCGUACGGCUCAACCGUAUUUUGUCGGUAGAAACUGCAGGACUUGAGGCUGGGAGGGGCUGGUGGAAUUCCCUGUGUAGCGGUGAAAUGCGUAGAGAUGGGGGAGAACACUCGUGGCGAAGGCGGCCAGCUAGACCAGUUCUGACACUGAGGCGCGACAGCGUGGGGAGCAAACAGG
rnacentral:rRNA from 1 species